AGGGCUGCCAACCCGCGAGGGGGAGCUAAUCCCAGAAACCCGGUCGUAGUCCGGAUCGUAGUCUGCAACUCGACUGCGUGAAGUCGGAAUCGCUAGUAAUCGCGGAUCAGCUUGCCGCGGUGAAUACGUUCCCGGGUCUUGUACACACCGCCCGUCACACCAUGGGAGCGGGUUCUGCCAGAAGUAGUUAGCCUAACCGCAAGGGGGGCGAUUACCACGGCAGGGUUCGUGACUGGGGUGAAGUCGUAACAAGGUAGCCGUAUCGGAAGGUGCGGCUGGAUCACCUCCUUU
rnacentral:rRNA from 1 species